rnacentral:rRNA from 1 species
UACGAAGGGGGCUAGCGUUGUUCGGAUUUACUGGGCGUAAAGCGCACGUAGGCGGAUUGUUAAGUCAGGGGUGAAAUCCUGGAGCUCAACUCCAGAACUGCCUUUGAUACUGGCAAUCUCGAGUCCGGAAGAGGUGAGUGGAACUCCUAGUGUAGAGGUGGAAUUCGUAGAUAUUAGGAAGAACACCAGUGGCGAAGGCGGCUCACUGGUCCGGUACUGACGCUGAGGUG